rnacentral:lncRNA from 13 species
GUUAAGUGUUCUUACCACAAUAAAAAAAGACUAAUGUAUUAAAAAGAAUUGUUAGUUUAUGUUUUUGUAUAUAUUAUGCAUAAAGAUGUAAUUCUUUGACACCAACAACUGAAAAAGGUGGGGACUGAGCUGUAAAGGAGCGGAGUUUUUGUGUGUUAUUGAAGUUAAGCUGUAUAAAUUCAAAUCAGAGUAUUAUAACUUUAGAAUGUUAAAUGUAAUCUCCAUGGUAACCACAGAGAAAGUAGCUAUAGAAUAUUUACAAAAGGAAAUGAGUAAGAAAUGUAAAUGCUUCACUGUAAAAAAAAAACAGCAACUAAAUACAUAUGAAGAAAGUAAUGCAGGAAAUAAAGGACAAAAAGAAGCUAUAAGGGAGCUUAUGUACCAGUAAGGAAGCGUCUCAUUUAUAAGGGAGCAACUGGAAAUAUAGAAUUGGAGUUCAUUGUGACGCAGAUUUGGGAAUUUCAGGCCACAAGCAGCAGUUAUGGCCCAGGAAUGACUGAUUUUCCAAAGGGGUAAAAUGACAAGGAAAGAGAUGAAGACUUCUUCCAGGAUCCUGAGGUGCUUCAUUGUCUCCAGAGAGGCCCCAUCCCACACCCCUCAGUCACUCAUAUCUGGACACAUCGGACCUUGUCAGCAUCAAUAAUGGACAUACCUCUGAUAUUUGAACUUUGAAUCUCACUCUGUGACCAUGACUUUGUAUCUUUCUAAGUCUUUAAUCUUCAGCCUCACAGAACUCUUCGUACUCUAAAAUAUAGUAUUUUCACCUGGUCUGUCAUCCUCUUUAGUGCCUUCAUUUUUUUUUUUCCUCACCAAGACUGGUUCCCAUGGUGAUAUCAUGAAUGACUUUACCACUAAUAACCAAACUUGCAUGUGUUCCCCCUUCCUAACAUGCUUGUCCAGCAACUACUUCAAUCCAUUCUACAGUCCACCCCUACUGUCUCCCUACACUGAGGAGAAAGCAUGAGAGUGUAAAUGUAAGGUUUCCAGUGUGAGCUGGGGGCUGAGUGCCUCAUUUACUUACUCAUUUAAUGCGUGUAUACUGAGUGCCAACUGCAUCAGGCACUGAGCUAGACACUAUGAUAUGUUGGUGAACAAUCCAUACAAGAAGUCCUGCCUGUGCAGAGUUGAUAUUCUAGAGGGGAGAGAUAUACAAUAAACAGAAAAGUAAAAUAUACA